rnacentral:rRNA from 1 species
ACUCCUACGGGAGGCAGCAGUGGGGAAUAUUGCGCAAUGGGCGAAAGCCUGACGCAGCGACGCCGCGUGGGGGAUGAAGGCCUUCGGGUUGUAAACCCCUUUCAGCAGGGACGAAGCGAAAGUGACGGUACCUGCAGAAGAAGCGCCGGCUAACUACGUGCCAGCAGCCGCGGUAACACGUAGGGCGCAAGCGUUGUCCGGAAUUAUUGGGCGUAAAGAGCUCGUAGGCGGUCUGUUGCGUCCGCUGUGAAAACUCGGGGCUUAACCCCGAGCCUGCAGUGGAUACGGGCAGACUAGAGGUAGGUAGGGGAGAAUGGAAUUCCCGGUGUAGCGGUGAAAUGCGCAGAUAUCGGGAGGAACACCGGUGGCGAAGGCGGUUCUCUGGGCCUUACCUGACGCUGAGGAGCGAAAGCGUGGGGAGCGAACAGGAUUAGAUACCCUGGUAGUCCACGCCGUAAACGUUGGGCGCUAGGUGUGGGAUCCUUCCACGGAUUCCGUGCCGCAGCUAACGCAUUAAGCGCCCCGCCUGGGGAGUACGGCCGCAAGGCUAAAACUCAAAGGAAUUGACGGGGGCCCGCACAAGCGGCGGAGCAUGUUGCUUAAUUCGACGCAACGCGAAGAACCUUACCAAGGUUUGACAUGCAGGGAAAAGCCGUAGAGAUACGGUGUCCGUAAGGGUCCUGCACAGGUGGUGCAUAGCUGUCGUCAGCUCGUGUCGUGAGAUGUUGGGUUAAGUCCCGCAACGAGCGCAACCCUCGUCCUAUGUUGCCAGCGGGUAAUGCCGGGGACUCAUAGGAGACUGCCGGGGUCAACUCGGA